CCUGUACUCUCGAGAGUGGUACACGUGCAACUGUCUUUUCUUUUCCCCCCUUGUGCCCCUCUAUGACUGAGUUUCCUGUGAUUGGGAGGAUGGAUGCCUUCUUGCUGGCUGCCGGGAGGAACGUCUAUACAUCUCUCGCUCAAAUCUCUGGGAAGAUGUAUCGGAUAGCGAGUCAUGUGAUGAAUGAGUCCCUUGUGUCCCCUCAGACUGUGGCUGAUCAGCUGAAACCCUAUGUGGAAUAUUUUUUUCUACCCAUUGCCCUGGAUCCACCCUGAUCUCCCUUGCCACCACACUGACUGGUCGUGGAGGGGAUCCUGACUCAUCAAGCUUUGGCUCCUGCUGCUGAUCUGCAAGCCAUCCGAUGAUCGGAUCGUCAUCCUCGUCGGCAUAAUCAUCCAGCGUCGGAUCAGUGUACUUCAACUGAACUUCCUCC
rnacentral:lncRNA from 1 species